GUCGAACGCUGGCGGCGUGCUUAACACGUGCAAGUCGAACGGAAAGGCCCUGCUUUUGUGUGGUGCUCGCGUGGCGCGCGGGUGAGUAACACGUGAGUCACCUGCCCUGUACUUUGUGAUGACUUCAGGAAACUGGGGCUAAUGCCGGCUAGGAGCUCCUGCUGCAUGGGGGGGGUUGGACAGCUUCGGCGGUUAGGGAUGGAUUCGCGGCUUAAGAGCUUGUUGGUGGGGUAGUGGCCUACCAAAGGUUUGGCGGGUGGGCGGCCUGAGAGGGGGACCGGCCACCUUGGUACUGAGGUACGGAGCAGACUCCUACGGUAGGCAGAGGGGGGGAAUAUGGCACAAUCGGGGGACGCCUGAUGCAGCAGUGCCGCGUGCGGGAUGAAGGCCUUGGGGUGGUAAACCGCUUUCAGCUGUGACGAAGCGGGAGUGACGGUAAUGGGUAAAGAAGCACCGGCUAACUACGUG
rnacentral:rRNA from 1 species